UUUNGAUCNGCCAUNCUNUUUUNCAUUUGCCCCNNCCGGGGAAUCUUGGACAAUGGGCGAAAGCCCGAUCCAGCAAUAUCGCGUGAGUGAAGAAGGGCUAUGUCGCUUGUAAAGCUCUUUCGUCGAGUGCGCGAUCAUGACAGGACUCGAGGAAGAAGCCCCGGCUAACUCCGUGCCAGCAGCCGCGGUAAUAA
rnacentral:rRNA from 1 species